rnacentral:rRNA from 1 species
AGCGAACGCUGGCGGCAGGCCUAACACAUGCAAGUCGAACGAACCCUUCGGGGUUAGUGGCGGACGGGUGAGUAACACGUGGGAACGUGCCUUUAGGUUCGGAAUAACUCAGGGGAACUUGUGCUAAUACCGAAUGUGCCCUUCGGGGGAAAGAUUUAUCGCCUUUAGAGCGGCCCGCGUCUGAUUAGCUAGUUGGUGAGGUAAUGGCUCACCAAGGCUACGAUCAGUAGCUGGUCUGAGAGGAUGACCAGCCACAUUGGGACUGAGACACGGCCCAAACUCCUACGGGAGGCAGCAGUGGGGAAUCUUGCGCAAUGGGCGAAAGCCUGACGCAGCCAUGCCGCGUGGAUGAUGAAGGUCUUAGGAUUGUAAAAUCCUUUCACCGGUGAAGAUAAUGACUGUAGCCGGAGAAGAAGCCCCGGCUAACUCCGUGCCAGCCGCCGCCGUAAAAC